UCUUCAAUUCAAUGGACUGAGUUAUGAUAAACUCUCAGUGGAAGGGGCAUCAUGUGCAUGUUAGUAGUUAAAGAUGAGUUCUUGCGAUUGCAUAAAUGUAAAAUUUUUGAAAAAGGAAAUUCCUCAUACAAGAUGCUUUUUAGGGGAUUUUUACAGUGAUAUAUUUAUAUAUUGAAGACAUUGCUAUGCUAGUAUGUGCUACAUAACCUUUCUUGCCCCUAUAGUAACAGUAAUCCUCCGUUUGCUCAAUAAGAAAUUCAUUUUCUGAAAGUUUCUUCAAGAAAGAGCUACUUUGAUGCAUAGAAAUAAGGCUGAAAAUUGAUUGGACAACAUCUUAGGUUAAAGCAUCUUGUGCACUGGAUAAACACGAAGAAUGCUGUUAUUUAUUUGAAAAUGACGAAGUUAUGUGUCUUUUGAAGUUUAUCUAAUUGGUAUCUAUGGUUUACAAGGUCAAAACAUGCCCACUUAUUUCCUCUAGAAGCUAAGCAUUAUCCUUUACUUUCAUUCUCUUUUCUUUUAUUUUUCCCCCUUCAUUUUAUUUUGUUUCUUUUUCAACAUGACAAUCUUGCUGACAUGUAUGAUUUGGUCGUGUGCAGUAGGAAAACAGACUAAUAAGGUGCUCUAAGGAUGUGGAGGUACAAAUGAAAGCGGAAGCAGCCAAAUCAUACCUUCAGCAGUAGGAGAAUGGAAUUUCUUUCAUCCAUAUUCAAGGACUAUCUCACGUGUGGGGUGUAAGGGACUUCGGAUUAUUUUCUGUGGUAGAGAAACUACAAUACACACUGAUGCAGCAGAGCAUUUUGUAUAUUUAUCUCGUUGGCAGCAUUCAACCUCCUAUAUAGAAGAGCGGGACAUCGUGUGAUGCAUCUUUAUUUACCAAGAAAAGGGAGAUUGACCCAAAAACACAAGCUAACCUAUCAAAGAACACCUAGUAAUUGGGAAUGCUGCCCAAUCCGGGUCACACCAACCCUUAAGGCAUGCAAUAAUAUACCCAAGUGCCUUUUAAGUAUCGAACAACUCUUUAAGCUCCUAAUGUUUAAGAUGUGGUUCCUUUUAGAAAAUAUUGUACAACUUUCCUUGUGAGUCAGAUUAGUGAGAAUAAUAAUAUUUUCAAAGUAUCACAAACUAAGUGUUUGGGAAAUAUCACAACUAAUCUUGCAGCGGAAAUAAUAUUCACUUUCCCUUUGUGUAUAAACAAAAUAUGUAACAAUUUUAUCUCUAUAAUAUAAUCGAUUAACUCACAAAGUGUUUCUAAACUAUAAACUAA